GACAUCUUGGGAGAGUGCUGUCACUGAUUUUGUAAUAUCUAGGAACCAUGCAUAAAAAUAGAGGUUUGAGCCUGUUUCAUGGAAAUUCUUAGCAUGCACAAAUUUCAAGGGUGUCAAUAAAAAGUGAGAAGUGCUUUGCUCGUUGGAAGACCAGAUUCAGGUACCCGCUGAUUAUGAAAAUCUAUGUAUCAUAUGGAGGGGCAGGAGGAAUUUCCUACCACUAGGAAGGAUGCAUUUAACAUACAUCACUGUGGUGGUUUUACCCUGAUGUGGAGAUAAACUCCACCACAACACUCUAGCACUCUCUCACUCACUCUCCUGAAAGGCGUGUGUGUGGGGAAUAUGAUGGAAAGAAAAAGGCUCGUGGGUUGAGAUAAAGAUAAUUUCAUUAAAGGGAAAAGGAAGAGGAAAAACAAAUAAAGGUUGCAUGGAAGCAAAGAGAGGAUUAUUCUCUACUUCCCAUCAAUGAGUUACGUUCAGCCAUGCCCCAGGAAGCAGGGCCUCAGUAUGUCUAGCAGUUACUUGGGAGGACAGAUAUCUUCAUAACGAGAGCCCCCCCUCUCCUUCCCCUUUCCCACCUUUUAUUGCUGAGUGCUCUAGCUACAAGUGCAGAGCACAGCACUGUAUGGGCCGCUGCAGGGAAAGUUAAAUCCAUCCCAGCCCGACCCAGCACACAGCUCCACCCCUUAUUCCAUAACAUUUGUGUCACACUCAGGUUCUAUAUACUUCAGUGUAUUGGUAUUCUUACCACCACCGUUCCCUGUCCUUUAACAGACAUAUCUAUAGGUACUGCUUUUCAUUCUAUAGGCCUCUUCCAGAAUGUCCAUAAGAACUAUUGAUGAUUUAGGCCUCAUCUGCCAAAGCGUUCACUCGGGACUGGCGGAACACAAUAUCUGGACACCAGUACCAGCUUAGCUCAAGUUGUUGCUGCACUUGCAUGGUUCCUUGUGAAGAUGACCUGUCAUUGGUUCUGCGGAGUCUUCCUAUAACUCAGAUUACAGCUUGCUGGAAUAAUCACAGGUGGAACAGUGGGGAUUCCAAGAAAAUCUUGAGGCAUUUAAUCUUCUACGUUAGGAGCUUCCUGUUGAAGACAGGAAAGAGAGCAUCAUUAUGAUAACACGGUCACUGAUCAGGAAAAAGCAACACAGUGCUUCUUUUCUUGCUGAGCAGAAAAGAAAGUGGUGAGUCUGGCAAAGAACAAGGAACAUAUCUUUUAUGCAAGCUAUCUCUUUUAUAUUAAUAGGAAUUUUCCAUUGUUUUGUUUAACAGGAAACCAGCUGGUUUAUUUACUUUUACUUUCAGAAUGUUUGUGGCGCAUUGCAGUCAUAGUGCACCCCACUGAGAUAAUC
rnacentral:lncRNA from 1 species